GCCGAGGUGGCGAAAUUGGUAGACGCACCAGCCUUAGAAGCUGGCGGGGCAACCCAUUGAGAGUUCAAGUCUCUCCCUCGGCACCA
rnacentral:tRNA from 1 species